rnacentral:rRNA from 1 species
GAUGAACGCUGGCGGCGUGCCUAAUACAUGCAAGUCGAGCGAACAGACGAGGAGCUUGCUCCUCUGACGUUAGCGGCGGACGGGUGAGUAACACGUGGAUAACCUACCUAUAAGACUGGGAUAACUUCGGGAAACCGGAGUUAAUACCGGAUAAUAUAUUGAACCGCAUGGUUCAAUAGUGAAAGACGGUUUUGCUGUCACUUAUAGAUGGAUCCGCGCCGCAUUAGCUAGUUGGUAAGGUAACGGCUUACCAAGGCAACGAUGCGUAGCCGACCUGAGAGGGUGAUCGGCCACACUGGAACUGAGACACGGUCCAGACUCCUACGGGAGGCAGCAGUAGGGAAUCUUCCGCAAUGGGCGAAAGCCUGACGGAGCAACGCCGCGUGAGUGAUGAAGGUCUUCGGAUCGUAAAACUCUGUUAUUAGGGAAGAACAAAUGUGUAAGUAACUAUGCACGUCUUGACGGUACCUAAUCAGAAAGCCACGGCCAACUACGUG